AGACGUCUACAUUAGACUACCCCCGUAGUCCCAGCCGUAAACUAUGCUCGCUAGGUGUCAGGCAUGGCGCGACCGUGUCUGGUGCCGCAGGGAAGCCGUGAAGCGAGCCACCUGGGAAGUACGGCCGCAAGGCUAGAAACUUAAAGGAAUUGGCGGGGGAGCACAACAACGGGUGGAGCCUGCGGUUUAAUUGGACUCAACGCCGGACAACUCACCGGGGACGACAGCAAUAUGUAGGCCAGGCUGAAGACCUUGCCUGAAUCGCUG
rnacentral:rRNA from 1 species